UCGAAUAAAUUGUGGAGACUUUGGGUUCUUGAGUAGGACACAUUUACAAGAUGCAAUAGCUUUUCUCUAGCUUUGUCCUCUUCUACAUACCUUGCAACAACAGCAUACUGAUCGUGGUUGGAAACAUCUGUAGUAGAAUCCAUCUGUACAGAAAAUAAGCCAGCGUCAUUUACAUCUUUGGGAAUUCUCUCCUUUUACAUCACUGCGAUCAAUUUGAAAAUCUU